rnacentral:rRNA from 1 species
CGCGUAGGCGGAUGACUAAGUCGGGGGUGAAAGCCCGGGGCUCAACCUCGGAAUUGCCUUCGAUACUGGUCAUCUGGAGUACGGGAGAGGUGUGUGGAACUCCGAGUGUAGAGGUGAAAUUCGUAGAUAUUCGGAAGAACACCAGUGGCGAAGGCGACACACUGGCCCGUUACUGACGCUGAGGCGCGAAAGCGUGGGGAGCAAACAGGAUUAGAUACCCUGGUAGUCCACGCUGUAAACGAUGAGUGCUAGUUGUCGGCAGGCAUGCCUGUCGGUGACGCAGCUAACGCAUUAAGCACUCCGCCUGGGGAGUACGGUCGCAAGAUUAAA